UACGUAGGGUGCGAGCGUUAAUCGGAAUUACUGGGCGUAAAGCGUGCGCAGGCGGUGAUGUAAGACAGUUGUGAAAUCCCCGGGCUCAACCUGGGAAUUGCAUCUGUGACUGCAUCGCUAGAGUACGGUAGAGGGGGAUGGAAUUCCGCGUGUAGCAGUGAAAUGCGUAGAUAUGCGGAGGAACACCGAUGGCGAAGGCAAUCCCUGGACCUGUACUCGACGCUCAUGCACGAAGCGUGGGAGCAACAGGAUAGAAAACCAGUGAGAUCCAGAUCCAAGUACCCUAC
rnacentral:rRNA from 1 species